rnacentral:snRNA from 1 species
GGAGGGGAGGGUGAUCUGGCUGCAACAUCUGCCACCCCACUGAUCGCUAGGGUUGAUGUGUCUGAUCGGGCUGGUUAGGUGGGUGUCCCCAUCCUCCCUCAUCGCUCCAUGUGUGCCCCUCCAGACGCUGCGGACGACCUUCCCCAUCAGAGGAGGGCUGUUCUUUCGUCAAGGGUAUUUGAGUAGCUGUACUCCUCUGCUAGAACCUCCAAACAAGCUCUCUCAAAGUAAUUAUUUCAAAGGAGGGAUUGAGAGUUUCAUCCUGUAUGACAAAGUUAAUUUUUCCUAAAAAAAUUUAAUAAUAA